UCUUAUCAAGAGAGGUGGAGGGAAAGGCCCUGUGAAACUUCGGCAACCUUCAGAUUAAUCUGAAAAGGUGCCAAAUCCUACCCUAAGUUCAAUCGAACUUAGAGAAAGAUGAGA
rnacentral:ncRNA from 1 species